rnacentral:rRNA from 1 species
UACGUAGGUCCCGAGCGUUGUCCGGAUUUACUGGGUGUAAAGGGUGCGCAGGCGGGCUUGUGCGUCGAGGGUUAAAGACCACGGCUUAACCGUGGGAGUGCCCUCGAUACGGCAGGUCUUGAAUAUGAGAGAGGAUAGUAGAAUUCCUGGAGUAGCGGUGAAAUGCGUAGAUAUCAGGAGGAAUACCAGUGGCGAAGGCGGCUAUCUGGCUCAUUAUUGACGCUCAGGCACGAAAGCGUGGGGAUCAAACAGG